rnacentral:rRNA from 1 species
GAUGAACGCUGGCGGCGUGCCUAAUACAUGCAAGUCGAGCGAGCAGAUAAGGAGCUUGCUCCUUUGACGUUAGCGGCGGACGGGUGAGUAACACGUGGGUAACCUACCUAUAAGACUGGAAUAACUCCGGGAAACCGGGGCUAAUGCCGGAUAACAUUUAGAACCGCAUGGUUCUAAAGUGAAAGAUGGUUUUGCUAUCACUUAUAGAUGGACCCGCGCCGUAUUAGCUAGUUGGUAAGGUAACGGCUUACCAAGGCAACGAUACGUAGCCGACCUGAGAGGGUGAUCGGCCACACUGGAACUGAGACACGGUCCAGACUCCUACGGGAGGCAGCAGUAGGGAAUCUUCCGCAAUGGGCGAAAGCCUGACGGAGCAACGCCGCGUGAGUGAUGAAGGUCUUCGGAUCGUAAAACUCUGUUAUUAGGGAAGAACAAAUGUGUAAGUAACUGUGCACGUCUUGACGGUACCUAAUCAGAAAGCCACGGCUAACUACGUG